AAGGCCUCAGUGCCCAUCUGAAACAGUUUAGGUAAUUCUCCAGGUCAUACUACCCCCUGUCAUUCCCCACUCAAGCUUAAACCUUGGCCAUGAUUAUACAAAUGAGCUGAAAAGUUGAAGUUCACAGUAAGCCAGCACUGAAUGCUUUUUAAAUGUCUUGUCGCUCUACCAAGGUUGAGAAUCCCUGGCUGAGACUGAUUAAAUAGAAAGAGACUUUAAGAUCUUACGUAAUUUUAAACCCUUUCGUGCCUAGGAAGAAAAUGCCGUCCUUGAGAUAGAUAGAUCUCCAGAAGAUGCAGUCUAAGGCAACAAGGGCUCUAGACCUUAGUCCCCUGUCCAUAGACCCGGCACUGCUUCCUUCUCAUUUCUCCUGACAAUUGCUUAGCUUCUCAUGGUUGGCUUCCUCACCAAAUAUGAGGGAGUAAAGAAGAAACAGCGGCGUGCAGUCAGCUGGGAAAAAAGAUGUGUUCACCUCACCAGUGUAAUGUGUUCUUAGUAGCUGUAGAACUUAAAUUAGUUAGAAUGAAGUGUUCUUUUAAUGAAAUUUUAGGUAAGAGUCCAAAUGUAUAGCAAAAAGCAUGUAACUUAUCUCUACAUGACCUGGCAUUUCAAGUCUUACAGCAUGGUCUUAGGUAUCUAAUAAAAAGAUUGUUAUUUUCAGAAUUAUCAUAGUUCCUGACACUUGUAACUACCUUUUAAUUUGUGUUUCUGAGAGUUUGUAGGCUGCAUAUUGUUUUUCAAUGCAAAUUAAACCACUUUUAUUUUGAAAGACA